rfam:Clostridiales bacterium 42_27 Ley3_66761_scaffold_4802, whole genome shotgun sequence.
GUUGGUGUUGAUUACAACGAGGGUCCACCUGUUCCCAUACCGAACACAGAAGUUAAGCUCGUUUGUGCUGAAAAUACUCGGCUGGCAACGGCCCGGGACGAUAGGUUGGCGCCAACA